rnacentral:rRNA from 1 species
UACAGAGGGUGCGAGCGUUAAUCGGAAUUACUGGGCGUAAAGCGCACGUAGGUGGCGACGUAAGUCGGGUGUGAAAUCCCCGGGCUCACCCUGGGAAUUGCAUUCGAGACUGCAUUGCUGGAGUACGGAAGAGGAGGGCGGAAUUCCCGGUGUAGCGGUGAAAUGCGUAGAUAUCGGGAGGAACAUCAGUGGCGACGGCGGUCCUCUGGUCCAGUACUGACACUCAAGUGCGAAAGCGUGGGGAGCAAACAGG